UGGCGCGUGCUUACCAUGCAAGUCGAACGCGAACGAGUUCUUCGGAACUUUAGUAGAGUGGCGCACGGGUGAGUAACGCGUAAGUAAUCUACCCUCGCAUCUGGGAUAACCCACCGAAAGGUGUGCUAAUACCGGAUACGUCUAUGUUAAUAUCUUUUUUAUAGAGAAAGGUGGCCUCUGAUUCAAGCUACUGUGCGGGGAGGAGCUUGCGUACCAUUAGCUAGUUGGUAGGGUAACGGCCUACCAAGGCGACGAUGGUUAGCGGGUCUGAGAGGAUGAUCCGCCACACUGGAACUGAAACACGGACCAGACUCCUACGGGAGGCAGCAGUGAGGAAUAUUGCGCAAUGGGGGCAACCCUGACGCAGCGACGCCGCGUGGAUGAUGAAGGCCUUCGGGUUGUAAAAUCCUGUCAGAUGGGAAGAAGUGUGUAGUACUUAAUACGUGCUACAUUUGACGGUACCAUCAAAGGAAGCACCGGCUAACUCCGUGCCAGCAGCCGCGGUAAUACGGAGGGUGCAAGCGUUGUUCGGAAUUACUGGGCGUAAAGCGCGCGUAGGCGGCUAUAUAAGUCAGAUGUGAAAGCCCGCGGCUCAACCGUGGAAGUGCAUUUGAAACUGUAUAGCUUGAGUACUGGAGGGGGUAGUGGAAUUCCCGGUGUAGAGGUGAAAUUCGUAGAUAUCGGGAGGAAUACCGGUGGCGAAGGCGACUACCUGGCCAGAUACUGACGCUGAGGUGCGAAAGCGUGGGGAGCAAACAGGAUUAGAUACCCUGGUAGUCCACGCCGUAAACGAUGUCAACUACGUGUUGGAGUGGUUAAUCGCUUCAUUGCCGGAGCUAACGCAUUAAGUUGACCGCCUGGGGAGUACGGUCGCAAGAUUAAAACUCACAGGAAUUGACGGGGGCCCGCACAAGCGGGGAGUAUGUUGUUUUAUUCGACGCCACGCGCAUAACCUUACCUGGGUCUUGACAUCUCCUACACUCCUGAAUGGAAAGCUCAGAGUGCCUCUUUGAUGAGCUGCUGACAGGCGCUGGCAUGGAUGUUCUUCAUCUACAGGCAUGAGAUGUUGGG
rnacentral:rRNA from 1 species